AUUGAACGCUGGCGGCAUGCUUUACACAUGCAAGUCGAACGGUAACAGGCCGCAAGGUGCUGACGAGUGGCGAACGGGUGAGUAAUGCAACGGAACGUGCCCAGUCGUGGGGGAUAACUGCUCGAAAGAGCAGCUAAUACCGCAUACGAUCUAUGGAUGAAAGCGGGGGACCGUAAGGCCUCGCGCGAUUGGAGCGGCCGAUGUCAGAUUAGGUAGUUGGUGGGGUAAAGGCUCACCAAGCCAACGAUCUGUAGCUGGUCUGAGAGGACGACCAGCCACACUGGGACUGAGACACGGCCCAGACCCCUACGGGAGGCAGCAGUGGGGAAUUUUGGACAAUGGGGGCAACCCUGAUCCAGCAAUGCCGCGUGCAGGAAGAAGGCCUUCGGGUUGUAAACUGCUUUUGUACGGAACGAAACGGUCUGGGUUAAUACCCUGGGCUAAUGACGGUACCGUAAGAAUAAGCACCGGCUAACUACGUGCCAGCCGCCGCCGUAAGAC
rnacentral:rRNA from 1 species